GAUUUGCACUGCCUCUGCGUGAGUCCGUAAGAUUAUUCCGUAGAAGUGUUCCGUAUGUGUAGCAUUGCUCAGUAUAAUUCAUACUGGUGCCAAUUUUGGUACCGCACCGGAAAAAGGCUGUAAAUGGGCCCGACCCAAUAAACCCAAUCGUUAUUCCUUUGUAUGAGACGUCCUGUGAAGAAAAAAAAUCAUAACCUUCUCCUCCGCGAGUCGACCUCGCUGGCUAGGUGCCGCCACCGAUCUCCGGGGAACUCCGGCGCCUCAGCCCCUCCCGCCGGCAUGUACGUCUCCUGGUCCAAGAUCUCCACCUACCCCACCAGCUCCUCUCCCUCAACUCGCCCUCUUGGCCUCGCCCCCGAUCCAAGAUCACAUGGCGGCACCGCUCUCCUCGCUGGCCAAGCCGGCGGAGCUCGUCACGCGGUUCCGGGACGGGAGCAGGUCCCCUGCCAGGCGACGUCCGUGUCCGUCCGUCCGCCCGAUGGCGGCAGACAACAAACAAGGUUCCGCGGUGACCGGAGCAGUGAUGCUGGCCCUCUUGGCAGCGGCGGCGGUGACGGCGGGCCGGCGAUGUGGACAAGGACGCGAGUGGAUUUCGGGCAGCGCACCGAGAAGCUGGUACUGGUGCGGCACCCGAACGUGUUGGCGCGCUCCGGGCGUAUUUACAGACCACGGAGCGGAUAGUUAUCAGUCAGUGCUCCCCAUUACAGCAUUUGUUUCUUCGUAAUUGUCAUUGCCGAUGUUCAGUUUCUGUGAUCAGCAAUAAUUUCCUACUAUAUAUAUGUAUCAUUUUAGCUCAUUACAAUUCUCAAUCUGAAGUAGGGUAAAUAUUGGAAAUAAUGAGGAAAUUGUAGUCUUAAUCUGCCCCGCUCUAAAGACCCGAAAAAUGUACAUAUAACUUUCAUGUCAACUGAACAGACCUUGCCGGACUGUAUGUGCCCAAAGUUUUGAGCCGAUGUUUGUGCUUCACGCCUUCACCUUCAGUAGAAGCUGAGCUAUGACGAGAGGAAGGCAAGUCUUGUUAAAAUGCUGAACGCCUUCGACUCCUCUGUUGGUGCCGAUGUGGAUGAUGACAAGGAUGACGAGUGAAGAGUGUAGUCUCCGUACUAGUGCUAUCUUUAUGAUUGAGUUGAACUUGCUCUGUGUCAUUCACCCCUUGUUAAAGUUGGUCACUAAGAAAAAUGACCAUGUUUCUUUCAGUAUUGAGGAUCAUAUUGGACUUAUUAUCUUAUUUUGAUGA